UUAACAUCAAAUCUAACAUCCAAAUUCAGAGAUAAGUCACACAACCAACAUCCACCAAGUCACACAAACAGGAAAUACAAAGAUAGUGUCAACAUUCAAAUUAAAAAUGUGAAACAAAUUCUGCAAUUAAAGACAGUAGCAUGUUGUCCAUUCCACAAUAAUCUUUUCCAGCUUUUGCUUAUGGAUUCCAAAUUUUCAACUCCAGGCCCUACAUAAAAUAAAUAAUUUAGGUAAUUAAAUAGUAGUGAUAAAAUCUAAAAUAAGAUAUUUGAAGAAGAAUCGAAAUGUUAAAUACAAACAAUAUACCUUUCCAAUUAUCACAUUCAUUUUAUGGGAAGUAGAAUCUCUUUUGCUGCCUUCACUUUCUGCAAAAUAAUAAUAAUAAUAAGAAUAACAAUAAGUAAUAAACUAAUUUUGUAUCAAUCACAUGAAUUUGAAUUUAACUUAUUUUUAUCUUUUUUUCACUCCAUGAAGGUUUCGACACCAAUCUCCGGCACACAUAAGCAUUUCCUACGUUCUCUCUCUGUCUCUCUAUAUCUCUGUGUGUGUGUCUGUCUGUCAUCUUUCUGGUAGCAUCCUUCUCCUGCACCUGGUGAGUAUUAUUGCCUUUGACUUCUGGCACUAAAAUGAUCACUAAAAGCAGAAGC
rnacentral:lncRNA from 1 species